rnacentral:tRNA from 1 species
GAUAGUUAUUGUAACUAUACCGGUUUUCAAGACCGGAGCUAUCAACCACUCAGCCACCUCUC